GUAGGUGGCAAGCGUUGUCCGGAAUUAUUGGGCGUAAAGCGCGCGCAGGCGGUUCUUUAAGUCUGAUGUGAAAGCCCACGGGCUCAACCGUGGAGGGUCAUUGGAAACUGGAGAACUUGAGUACAGAAGAGGAAAGCGGAAUUCCACGUGUAGCGGUGAAAUGCGUAGAGAUGUGGAGGAACACCAGUGACGAAGGCGGCUUUCUGGUCUGUAACUGACGCUGAGGCGCGAAAGCGUGGGGAGCAAACAGGAUUAGAUACCCUGGUAGUCCACGCCGUAAACGAUGAGUGCUAAGUGUUAGGGGGUUUCCGCCCCUUAGUGCUGCAGCUAACGCAUUAAGCACUCCGCCUGGGGAGUACGGCCGCAAAGGCUG
rnacentral:rRNA from 1 species